AACGAACGCUGGCGGCGUGCCUAACACAUGCAAGUCGAACGUGAUUGGAAGCUUGCUUCCAUGAAAGUGGCGCACGGGUGAGUAACGCGUAGAUAAUCUACCUGAUGGAUCGGGAUAACACUUCGAAAGGGGUGCUAAUACCGGAUAAGCCCACGGAGUCCUUGGACACUGCGGGAAAAGGGGGGGACCUUCGGGCCUUCCGUCAUCAGAUGAGUCUGCGUACCAUUAGCUAGUUGGUGGGGUAAAGGCCUACCAAGGCGACGAUGGUUAGCUGGUCUGAGAGGAUGAUCAGCCACACUGGAACUGAGACACGGUCCAGACUCCUACGGGAGGCAGCAGUGGGGAAUUUUGCGCAAUGGGGGAAACCCUGGCGCAGCAACGCCGCGUGAGUGAUGAAGGCCCUUGGGUCGUAAAGCUCUGACAGAGGGAAAGAAAUGCAGGGGGGCUAAUAUCCCUUUUGCUUGACGGUACCCUCAAAGGAAGCACCGGCUAACUCCGUGCCAGCCGCCGCAGUAAGAC
rnacentral:rRNA from 1 species